rnacentral:rRNA from 1 species
UUGAACUGAAGAGUUUGAUCCUGGCUCAGAUUGAACGCUGGCGGCAUGCCUUACACAUGCAAGUCGAACGGCAGCACGGGCUUCGGCCUGGUGGCGAGUGGCGAACGGGUGAGUAAUACAUCGGAACAUGUCCUGUAGUGGGGGAUAGCCCGGCGAAAGCCGGAUUAAUACCGCAUACGAUCCACGGAUGAAAGCGGGGGACCUUCGGGCCUCGCGCUAUAGGGUUGGCCGAUGGCUGAUUAGCUAGUUGGUGGGGUAAAGGCCUACCAAGGCGACGAUCAGUAGCUGGUCUGAGAGGACGACCAGCCACACUGGGACUGAGACACGGCCCAGACUCCUACGGGAGGCAGCAGUGGGGAAUUUUGGACAAUGGGGGCAACCCUGAUCCAGCAAUGCCGCGUGUGUGAAGAAGGCCUUCGGGUUGUAAAGCACUUUUGUCCGGAAAGAAAUCCUCUGCCCUAAUAUGGCGGGGGGAUGACGGUACCGGAAGAAUAAGCACCGGCUAACUACGUGCCAGCAGCCGCGGUAAUACGUAGGGUGCGAGCGUUAAUCGGAAUUACUGGGCGUAAAGCGUGCGCAGGCGGUU